rnacentral:RNase_P_RNA from 1 species
CGAGGUGGCACAGGCGACCGCCUGCCUUCUUUGGCAGGAGGAAAGUCCGGGCUUCACAGGGCAGGGUGCUGGGUAACGCCCAGUGGCGAAAGCCAAGGAAAGUGCCACAGAAAACAAACCGCCUCACCUUGUGUGGGGCAAGGGUGAAACUGUGGGGUAAGAGCCCACAUGCAUUGCAGGUGACUGCUGUGCAGGUAAACCCCACCCGAAGCAAGACCAAGCAGGGGGUGAGUUGCCCGCUCGAUACCCCCGGGUCGGGUCGCUCGAAGGUUGUGGUAACACAGCCUCUAGAUGAAUGGUCGCCACCUCGCUAGACAGCGAGGAACAGAACCCGGCUUAUGUGUUACCUCGACCU